rnacentral:rRNA from 1 species
GAUGAACGCUGGCGGCGUGCCUAAUACAUGCAAGUCGAGCGAACAGACGAGGAGCUUGCUCCUCUGACGUUAGCGGCGGACGGGUGAGUAACACGUGGAUAACCUACCUAUUAGUCUGGGAUAACUUCGGGAAACCGGAGCUAAUACCGGAUAAUAUAUUGAACCGCAUGGUUCAGUAGUGAAAGACGGUUUUGCUGUCCCUUAUAGACGGAUCCGCGCCGCAUUAGCUAGUGGGUUAGGUAACGGCUUACCAAGGCAACGAUGGGUAGCCGACCUGAGAGGGUGAUCGGCCGCACUGGAAGUGAGACAGGGUCCAGACUGCUACGGGAGGCAGGAGUAGGGAAUGUACCGCAAUGGGCGGAAGCCUGACGGAGGAAGGGAGGGUGAGUGAUGAAGGUCGGCGGAUCGUAAAUCUAUGUUAUUAGGGAAGAACGAAUGUGUAAGUAACUAUGCACGUCUUGACGGUACCUUGUCAGAAAGCCACGGCUAACUACGUG